rnacentral:rRNA from 1 species
GGCUCAGGAUGAACGCUAGCGACAGGCUUAACACAUGCAAGUCGAGGGGCAGCGAGGGAGUGCUUGCACUUCUGUCGGCGACCGGCGCACGGGUGAGUAACACGUAUGCAACCUGCCCUUGUCAGGGGGAUAAGCGAGGGAAACCUCGUCUAAUACCGCAUAUAUGGUUUUGAGGCAUCUCUUAAUCAGGAAAGAAUUAUCGGACAAGGAUGGGCAUGCGGGACAUUAGGUAGUUGGGGGUGUAACGGACCACCAAGCCGACGAUGUCUAGGGGUUCUGAGAGGAAGGUCCCCCACACUGGUACUGAGACACGGACCAGACUCCUACGGGAGGCAGCAGUGAGGAAUAUUGGUCAAUGGGCGCGAGCCUGAACCAGCCAAGUAGCGUGAAGGAUGACUGCCCUACGGGUUGUAAACUUCUUUUGUUUGGGAAUAAAUGAUACUACGUGUAGUAUUUUGCAUGUACCUUACGAAUAAGCAUCGGCUAAUUCCGUG